CAAUUUUAAUGCAGUUUCAUCAUUCAUUGGAAGAAUAGUUUGUACAGAGCCUUUACCAAAUGUACGCUCUCCCAUGAUAAUUGCUCUUCUAUGGUCCUGUAGAGCGCCAGCAACUAUCUCUGAUGCAGAAGCUGAACCACCAUUAACGAGUACAAUAAUGGGAAUGUCUUUAAACAUUUCACUUGGUUUAGCAUUAAAUUUUAAUUUUGAUCCUUUUACUCUUCCUUCAGUGUAAACAAUUAAUCCUUCGUCAAGGAAUAAAUCGGAAACACCAACUGCUGCAUUGAGUAGACCACCAGGAUUAUUUC
rnacentral:ncRNA from 1 species